AAAAAUUAUAAAGGCAAAAGAAUAGAAAAGAAGAAAAAAAUUGUAUCUUAAUUUUAAUAUAAUUUAAUUUGCUGUUUAAAGAUGUGUAGCUACGGGUGUUUCCAUUCACUUGUCAUCUGCCUAUUAAAAAAAGUAUUUCAACUCAUGUUAAUUCAAGCUUAGUAAUAUUCAGUAUUACGUUCAAUGCUUUGCUGUGUUGCCUGGUAUUUGUUUGGCUGUCAUUUACCACUUGUUGAGUGUUUGCAAAUUGUAGUUAUGUGUUGCAUACAUUCCAAUUAAUUAAAGUGCAUCGUCAUCAUCAUCAUCAUGAUCAUCUUGAAAGUUGUCUACUUAUACUUAUUCUACUUCUUUGUCAUGCUAGAAUGCACAUCUAUGUCUAGAUGUGUACGUAUUUCCACUUAUUUUCAUGUUAUAAUAAAUUGUAUAUUUACAUACUUAUUGCUUGGAAGAUGGUGCCUUUCUUUGAUAGUUUUCUUAAAAGAUGUGUAAAUAAAAUUUUUAAUUGUUU